rnacentral:ncRNA from 1 species
AAUAAGUUUUAUUCUUGCUUAAUUAUUCAUUUUUUGAUUAUUUUAUAUGUGAACUUUUGUCUAAUCUAUAUGAUUUUUAUUCAGUAUUGGGUAUUAAAAAUUAAGGGUACUUAGAUUUGGUUAUUCAUAUUUUAAUUGGUUAAAUUUGUGCCAGCAUCCGCGGUUAUACAAUGGAUUAUUGUGAAUAUUUUUGGUUUAAUAGUUAAUUAAUUAUGGAGGGGGACUUAGAUUAAAUUGUUAGGUGAAAUUUUAAUUUUUUAGUGUUUUUUUUUCUUUUGAUGAGGCUAUGAAAUCCAUAUACUAAAUUAGGAUUAGAUACCCUAUUAUUUUGGAUGUUAAAUUUGUUAUUAGAGUAGUAUUAGUUAUGGCCUUGAAACUUAAAGAAUUUGGCGGUAUUAUAGUCCUUUUAGAGGAAUCUGUCCCUUUAUCGAUAAUCCGCGUUGAACCUUACUAAUUUAUUGUUUGUAUACCGCCGUUAAUCUGAAUAUUCUUAUAGGAUAUUUUCUUAUCUUUUGUUAUUAUUUUAUUUCAGGUCAAGGUGCAGCUUAUUAAUUAGUGGAGAUGGAUUACACUUUAUUUUCUUAUUGGAUUGCUUAUUGAAAUAUGGUUAUUAAAUUGGAUUUAAUAGUAAUGUUAUAUAGAUUAUUAACAUGAUUUUGGCUCUAUGAUAUGUACAUAUCGCCCGUCACUCUCGUUAUUAAAGUUGAGAUAAGUCGUAACAUAGUGGUUGUACCGGAAGGUGUAGCUGGAAUGAU